rnacentral:tRNA from 1 species
GCCGGCGUGGUGGAAUAGGUAGACACAGCAGACUUAAAAUCUGCUGAUUUUGUAAUCGUGCCGGUUCAAAUCCGGCCGCCGGUA